rnacentral:rRNA from 1 species
AGUGAACGCUGGCGGUAGGCCUAACACAUGCAAGUCGAACGGCAGCACAGUAAGAGCUUGCUCUUACGGGUGGCGAGUGGCGGACGGGUGAGGAAUACAUCGGACUCUACUUUUUCGUGGGGGAUAACGUAGGGAAACUUACGCUAAUACCGCAGACGACCUUCGGGUGAAAGAAGGGGAUCUUCGGCCCUUGCGCGAUUGAAUGCGCCGAUGUCGGAUUAGCUAGUUGGCGGGGUAAAGGCCCACCAAGGCGACGAUCCGUAACUGGUCUGAGAGGAUGAUCAGCCACACUGGAACUGAGACACGGUCCAGACUCCUACGGGAGGCAGCAGUGGGGAAUAUUGGACAAUGGGCGCAAGCCUGAUCCAGCCAUACCGCGUGGGUGAAGAAGGCCUUCGGGUUGUAAAGCCCUUUUGUUGGGAAAGAAAAGCAGCAGGUUAAUACCCCGCUGUUCUGACGGUACCCAAAGAAUAAGCACCGGCUAACUUCGUG